UAUACAGUAAAAACUUAGUGAUAUUUACUGAAGUGUCUUUGGUUGGGGCGACCGCGGGGUAAAACACAACCCCCAUGUGGACCGGGGAUAUUAUCCCUAAUACUCAGAGCCUCUACUCCAAGUAACAGAAAUUCUGACUUUUCUGAUCCGGUAUAACCGAUCAACGAACCG
rnacentral:rRNA from 1 species